GCCAUUCCAGCCAUGUCCACCUCCACUACCUGCAUGGGGGCGCACAUCUUGGUCUACCCUUAUGUCAGUUCUGGCCAUAUUAUCCCCCUCCUGGACCUCACGCAUUGCUUGCUUGACCGCGGCCUCGUAAUCACCGUUGUGGUCACCGCCAGCAACCUGCCUUUGCUUGACCCGCUCCGUUCCUCCCACCCCUCCUCCCAACUCCAGUCCCUGGUCUUACCUGACCCAGGAAAUGCCCCUCCUUCUAAAAACCGCCUCCUCGCUAGCAUGCGCUCCUUGCGUGAAGUCCACUAUCCUCUGCUCCUGAAUUGGUUCCAAUCACACAGCUACCCUCCCGUUGCUAUUAUAUCCGAUUUCUUUCUCGGCUGGACCAGCGAAUUCGCUUCGCAGGUCGGCGUGCCACGCAUCGUUUUCUCGCCGUCGGGGGCCCUUGCUUUCUCCGUUGCCACUUUUGUUUGGCGUGACCAGCCACAAAACGAUCAUCCGGAAAACCUGAAUCUUUCAGUGUCAUUUCCUAAGAUUCCGAAUUCCCCGACUUUCCCCUGGUGGCAGAUCUCUCACAUUUACAGGAUGCCCAAGGACUCCGAUUGGGAAUUUUAUAGAAACUGUAAUUUGGCUAAUUUGGCGAGUUGGGGAAUCAUAUUCAACUCGUUCGCUGAGUUAGAACGUGUUUACCUGGAUCACAUGAAAAGGGAGUUCCAAAAUGAUCGUGUGUGGGCUGUAGGCCCUGUUUUACCGCCGGACGAUGAUUUAACGGGAACAGCUAACCGUGGUGGGUCCAGCUCCGUGCCAUGUCAUGAUGUGCUGACAUGGCUUGAUUCCUGUAAAGACCAUUCAGUCGUGUAUGUUUGCUUUGGAAGCCGAACAGCUCUGACGUGUAAGCAAAUGGAUGAGCUGGCAGCUGCCCUAGAUAAAAGCGGAGUCCAUUUUAUAUGGUGCGUUAGGCAACCAGUGGAGCAACGGAGAACGUCAAGCGAUUACGGUGACUUGCCAGACGGAUUUGAAGAUCGUGUGGCUGACAGAGGUUUCAUUAUAAAAGGAUGGGCCCCGCAAGUAGCUAUACUAAGGCACCGUGCAGUUGGCGCGUUCUUGACUCAUUGCGGAUGGAACUCGGUGCUUGAAGGUAUCGCGACAGGCGCGGUGAUGCUAACUUGGCCGAUGAGCGCGGACCAGUUUACAAACGCUCAGCUUCUAGUUGAUCAGUUGCGGGUAGGUAUUCGAUUUGGUGAGGGGACUGCGAAUAUACCUGAGUCAACUGAGUUGGCUCGGAUAUUGGCAGAAUCCGUGGCUGAAACUCGACCGGAAAGAUUGAUAGCCAAAAAACUGCAAGAGGAAGCGUUGAGUGCCAUCAGAGGAGGGAGCUCAGAUACCGAUUUGGAUGGCUUGGUUAGAAGGCUAAACCAGCUCAAACUUGAAACGGAUGGUGAUGCGAUCAAGUGACAUGGAGGGGAGACGGAGAUGGGACAGAGUCACAGGAUUGCUCGAUUGGGCACAAAGUGGGAGACCGGAAACAGGGGACGAUAUUGGGGGUUUGAUUGGUCAGGUGUUUGAUGUUCGUUUUUCCCUUUUGGGUGUUUGAAUCGUCUUUAAUAGAGAAAAUUACUACUAAUUUGGAUUUCAUCAAUCAGGACUUCAGAAUUCAUGUA
rnacentral:misc_RNA from 1 species